rnacentral:tRNA from 1 species
GCCUGGGUGGCUCAGUCGGUUGAGCGCCCGACUUCAGCUCAGGUCAUGAUUUCAUGUUUCGUGAGUUCAAGCUCCACGUCAGGCU